GGUAAUGCCGGAUGUUCCACAUGAUCGCAUGUGAUUGUGGGAAAGAUUCUAUCGGCGUGGGAUGGGGUCGCGUCCUAUCAGCUUGUUGGUGAGGUAACGGCUCACCAAGGCUUCGACGGGUAGCCGGCCUGAGAGGGCGACCGGCCACAUUGGGACUGAGAUACGGCCCAGACUCCUACGGGAGGCAGCAGUGGGGAAUAUUGCACAAUGGGCGCAAGCCUGAUGCAGCGACGCCGCGUGAGGGAUGGAGGCCUUCGGGUUGUAAACCUCUUUUGUUUGGGAGCAAGCCUUCGGGUGAGUGUACCUUUCGAAUAAGCGCCGGCUAACUACGUGCCAGCAGCCGCGGUAAUACGUAGGGCGCAAGCGUUAUCCGGAUUUAUUGGGCGUAAAGGGCUCGUAGGCGGCUCGUCGCGUCCGGUGUGAAAGUCCAUCGCUUAACGGUGGAUCUGCGCCGGGUACGGGCGGGCUGGAGUGCGGUAGGGGAGACUGGAAUUCCCGGUGUAACGGUGGAAUGUGUAGAUAUCGAAGAAGAGAC
rnacentral:rRNA from 1 species